ACCUAAUGUGUUAGCAAACAAUCAGCUCUUUUCACAGCAGACGUGGAGCUUUAGUCUUAGUUAUAAUUUUGAUUUUUGCUCCCUAACUCCUGAGAAAAUUAUCUGGAUAUCUGGCUCUGCGUUCAUAAACUAUAGCUUUGAACUCUGCUGGUCUACUUGUGCAGUGCUGCAAAAGUCCAUGUACAAUGAGCAAAUUAUAAGACAGCAGGCCCCUCCUCAUGGGCUUGUAAAACAUUCCCCACCUUCCUACACAGAAGCUGGACUCUGAAACUAGAGAGAAGGCAGCAGGACAGCAGUGGCCUGCAGAGACAUUAUGAUGUAGCAGAGCAGGACUUCCUGGAUAGCAGACAACUCUAUACCAAUUCACAUCCCGCUAGUGGGACAUUCUGUCGCUGAUGUGGUAAAAGAUGUCUUAAACUGUUAAAAGGUUGAGUUCAAAUUCAUUAGCAGAUCAGCGUUCCAUCAAAACUUGGUGUCUAGUUCCUUAUACAUCUAACUUGAUCCACUGUCCUUCACACGCUGUCGGUACAUCCAGUGGAACCACACUGGUUGAGAGAGUCUCGGUGUUCAGCAGCACCUGGUAUGUCUGAACUGGAAACCUGAUCGUCACCAGGUACAAGAAUAGCUCGAGUGGACCUUAAAGGUCAUUCCUCUGACCUGCCACAAACUGUCUAUGAACUUCUGUCCCCGCAGAGAAAAAUCUUGCUCUACUUGCAUUUUCAGCCAUAAUAUUUCUUUUUCUUAGCUCACAAGGUUUUUUUUUUCUUUUUAACUAUAAGAUGCUACAGUGCCAUGUUAAUUAAUUAAAUAAAUAAAUAACAAGCACAUUAAUUUGGGGCAUGUUUACUGCAUAAGGUUACCAGUGAAAAUGAGUAAAAACCCUCUGUGGUGUAUUUACAUAGUAUUUUACUCUACUACCUCAUGCCUUGAAAGAAGAUUACUAUGACACUGUGCCAGGGUGUGGUUUGUGCCUCAGCUGCAGGGAAGGGGUGGAGCAGUGGGUUCAGGGUGCGGUGUCAGGGGAGGUUGACACACACCUGAGCUCCAUCAUCUAAUCAUGGCUCUUCUAUAAAAGAUGUGCCGGGACCUGAGGUGGACAAGUGUGUGUGUGCUACAAACAGGGCAGCUGGAAUGUUGCACAGUGAAAAACAGAGCAAAUAAAACCUGUGUGUGUGCAACUGUAAAUGCUGUUGGUGUUGCGUCCAUCAAUUCCACAGACAC
ensembl:lncRNA